AGAGAAACAAAGUUUCCAAAUAUAAUUUUCAAGGAAGACAAGAAAUAUAAAUUGAAAGGCAUGAGAAUGAUAGCUAUUUUAGUUAUUGAACCAAUUAAAGACAUCACAUAGAAUGAACAAACGAGGACAAGCCCUUUGAUUAAAAAGAGAGUAACAUCGAAAUGAAUUUGCACUUAUGUUGCCAUGAAUUUAUCAUAGCUUGAAAAACUACUUUCGCCACUUAAAAUACGUAAUUAAGAAGGCAAUUAAAGCAAGGGAAAGGCAAGCAGAAUGAGGAAAGCGAGAGUGUGAAAGAAUUGUAAUAGGGAAAUUGGUGAAAUGAAGAAAAGGAGAAUGAAAUCGAAAACAAUAAUGUAUAAACAUAAACGUAAAUUGACUUUUGAAAGCUAUUGGACAAGUGUAUUGUCUAUUGAAGGUAGAAUAAGA
rnacentral:misc_RNA from 1 species